ACGCAUGGAACUUGCGUCAGAGGAUGUAAUGAUACCGACCAGACAUGCACAUCUAACUGUACUAAAGACUGUCCUUCGGAGGUCUGCCUUAAACUCAGAACAUGUUCAGGUGGUCAGCCGAAGCUUGACAUCAAGUACAUGACAAUGGGACUGUCAGCAGUGAUGUUUCUUACUGGCAUCCUUUGUGCUGUUUGUUUUGUAAGAUACUGGUCAAGGAGAAGGAACGAUGAAGCAGAACACCUACAUAGUAGGGUAUCAGCCUCCGUCAAACAGAUAUUACGAAAUUCGAGAUGAAGAUGUGGACCAAGAAUGUGACUCCACUGAGCCUGAAUCGAAUGAUGUCACUCCUCCGUUGGCAGAACUGCUUAAGGAAGCUGACGUCAGUGGAACACACAGUGACGUAUCUUCAGAUGGUACUUCAGAAGACAACCAGUCGUACACACACACCUAGAGAGGGAUAACUGUGUCGUUGAUCAGACAACUUAUGUGAAAUAUAUCACACCAGCUGAGGAACGGAUGUCCGGUGAACAGUAACAUCGAAGGCAAUCUCAUUCACUACCACUUUCAAGAGGUGCAAGGUCGAUUUAUAGUUAUAUAGCUUGUAGUCUACAGUGUGGUUGUGGAUAGUACCUGCUUUAAAGAUGUCCACAAACUUUGCCCUUAUACAGGCAUCAUCAGUGACAAAAGCGA